rnacentral:rRNA from 1 species
AGCUCCAAUAGCGUAUAUUACACGUGUUGCGGUUAAAAAGCUCGUAGUUGGAUUUCUGCCGAGGACGAUCGGUCCGCCCUCUGGGUGAGUAUCUGGCUCGCCCUUGGCAUCUUUCUGGAGAACGUACCUGCACUUGACUCUGUGACGCGGUAUCCAGGACUUUCACUUUGAGGACGUUAGAAUGUUUCAAGCAGGCGCACGCCUUGAAUACAUUAGCAUGGAAUAAUAAGAUAGGACCUCGGUUCUAUUUUGUUGGUUUCUAGAGCUGAGAUGAUGAUUAAUAGGGAUAGUUGGGGCCAUUCGUAUUUAUUUGUCAGAGGUGGAAUUCUUGGAUUUGUUAAAGACGGACUACUGCGAAAGCAUUUGCCAAGGAUGUUUUCA